GUGGUCACAUACCGGCUCGGUUGGCGUUCACAUUCGUUUCCGUCAGUGUCGUCGGCACCAGGGGAAAAAGUGAGAUCACCGUGUGUGCGAUUAUGACGAAUCCUGGUUACGGAGGUGCGGUCGGUACUUCGCAGGGCCUAGAAUUGACGUCGGAUUUAGGUGUGGAAAGGGGCUCGAUAAGCCGCCGUCGUCGCCGUAAUCGGUAAAAGUCGCGCUCUCGGUGGAGCAGCCUGGAAUAUGUCGAUUCUCUAGAGAGAUAAGCGCGGAUCGAGUCGGGUGUUUCCAACGGAAGGCGCCGUGCCCGAUUGGCCGGUCGCAAGGGUCGUGGUGGGUGCAACGGGUGCGCAGGUGGACACGGUGUGUCGCGACCGUUCGCGAGGAACUAGAGAGAUCGCCAAGUGUCAAACGUCGAGGUGACCAUGAAGAAACAAUUUUUUAGGGUGAAGCAGCUCGCCGAUCAAACGUUCUCCAGAGCGGGAAAAACAGAAGUCUUAACGGAUGACCUGCAAGCUGCGGAUAAGCACGUGGAACAGAUCAGAGCAGCACUUAUUGGACUCAGUAAACGACUUGGAAACCCACCGAAUCAGGCAGUAGCACAAGAUCCUGCACAUAAAGAGAAACGCCUGAAAAAAUGUCCAGAAUACAUUCUCGGUCAGACGAUGCUAGAGAAUGCAGGUGACGAGGGCCUGAUGAGUUUUGCCCUUUUGGAAUGUGGAAGGGCACAGGUGGCAUUGGCUCAGGAGACAAUGGAUCACGAAUCCAAGGUGGAGCAGUAUGUCGCUGCUCCUCUACAGCACAUCUUAGAGACAGAUGUGCCAAACAUCUUGAAGCACAAAAGAAACCUGGCUAGGCUUACCCUGGACAUGGACAGCGCGAGGACCCGAUACCAGCAAGCCAGCAAGCACAGUGCUGGAGGUGCGGGCGCCACGAAGGUCGACAGCUUGCGGGAGGAAUUGGAGGAGGCCGAGGCCAAGGUCGAGCAGUGUCGCGAUCAACUAGCUGCAGACAUGUUUCAACUAUUGUCUCGGGAGACCGAAUUGGCGCAGACCGUUAUUCAGUAUGUCAAGUUACAAAGGGCCUACCACGAGAGUGCUUUACACUGCCUGGAAGAGCUGAUCCCAGGCCUAGAGAGUUACAUCAAUGACAACGAGAUGAAACCAGUGUACGGUUACCCUUUGGAGGAGCAUCUGCGAGUGACCAACAGAAAAAUCGCGCUGCCCAUUCAGUUGUGCGUCUCCGCGUUAUUACGACUUGGCAUGGAAGAAGAGGGCCUUUUUCGAAUAGCUGGUGGAGCAUCGAAGCUACGUAGGAUCAAGCUGAGCCUCGAUGCCUGCUGCCUGACUCUGCCUACGGCACUGGAGUACAAGGAUCCCCACGUAGUGGCAGGUGCUCUGAAAUCCUACCUCCGAGAGCUGCCGGAGCCUCUUCUCACGUUCAAGUUGUAUCCAGAAUGGAUGGCGGCUGCAAAAAUCACCCAAAACGACUUUAGGCUCAGGGCCCUUUGGGAGGUCCUUCACAAACUGCCACCCUCGAACCUAGAAAACCUCAGGUUCCUCAUAAAGUUUCUGGCGGUCCUCACAAAAAAUCAGGACGUAAAUAAAAUGUCCCCGCAAAACAUCGCCAUCGUCAUCGCCCCGAACUUGAUCUGGAGCCCUCAGGAGGAUGUGAACACCAUGGUGAUGAACAUGAGCACCGCUAACAACUCUAGUCUUAUUGUGGACCAGCUGAUCACGUACGCCGACUGGUUCUUCCCGGGGGAGGUAGACUUCGACCGUGACUUGGACAUCGGUAUCGUGAACGGCUCGGAGAACCAAUUGGUAGGAAUGCGCCGGGCAGUCUCGAACAGCAGCCUGAGUGACCAUGGGGAGAGUCCUCCCCAGGGGAGUCCCAAACCGGCCACCCGGAGGAAAAAUAAGCCGGCCCCUACACCUCCAGGAAACACCCCUGACAAGCAGGAGAGGAGAUGUGACGACAAACCCCCGCCAGCCCCGGACAAACCCCCGAGACCUUUGACAACCAUCCCGCUGACGAGAUCUGCCCAUAAACCCGCGAGACAGGACCAGGAAACGACGAUGGCUCCUACCAAGGAGCACGUCGCGGCCCUCCGAGAAAUCAGGUCGGACACGUCGGAGGGAGUUCCGGAGGUCGACGGGAAGCCUUUGGGAUUCGAAAUCGUUGCCGAGGACUCCUCGGCCUCGGAGGUCCUGGAACGUUUCUCGGAAGUCAAAAUGCCCCAGGAGUCACCGAAAAGCGACUCGAGAGUGGAGAGGCACGACCUGGACCGCAAAAACAGCCCACCGAUUGGCUUUGAAGGUCUCGUUCCUAGAAGCAUUUCAGAGAAUCCUCAGAACAAGGCAAUCCUUGGGGACUCGCAAGACUCCGGAGAUCCUGGGGCCAAAGCGAAGCCUGUGCCUGCCGAGAAACCGUCGCCGUCCACCUUGGAGAGAAGAAGAGUGCCUGUAGCUGCGCCUAGAAGUGUCACCAAUGUUAUUCAUCAUAAUCCAGUUCCUGCUGCCGGCUGCGUUGAAGACGUGGUGGAGCUCCGUAGGAAACCGGAAGACCAAACCGGUAUAGUUCCGGGAAACAACAGUACCGAUAGGAGCAGCAAACCUGCGGUACCCGAGAGACCUGCAGGUCUCGCAAGGCCAGCAAGUCUGAUCAGGCACCAGCAUCGCCAGAGCAAUGAGAAUCUGGACAUCGACUCCGGGGAAAAGGGCCAGAGCGCGUCCAAAGGCUGGAAGGUGACACGCCGAGUCUCGUAAAAUGUUUCACCGCGGUCUGGCAUUUUGAAACCACCUUAGCCUCGACUUUUAUCCACCUAACGACUAUCCAAUACCAGCUACGUAGACUGCAAACUUUUAAUAGCUUCUAGAUUUAAACCAAAUUCCUUUUCAGUCCUUUACAACGUGUCAGGAGCAUAAACUAGUUUCGCUUGGUUUAAGUCUAGAAGACGAAUCGUUUGAAAAUGCGACUCUGAAUCGCUCAGGCGAUUAAUAAAAGUGAAAUCCGCCCUUUCAGCCCCUAACGUUGGAAAGGGCGCACGUGUACUCGGUGGAGAAGCAACAGAGAAGCCCGAGCGUGGGGAGCCGACCCUCCUCGGGGAUGGUCCCGGCCUCGG
rnacentral:misc_RNA from 1 species